rnacentral:rRNA from 1 species
ACAAUGAAGAGUUUGAUCCUGGCUCAGGAUGAACGCUAGCGGCAGGCUUAACACAUGCAAGUCGAGGGGCAGCGCGGGGGUUAGCAAUAACUUCUGGCGGCGACCGGCGCAAGGGUGCGUAACGCGUGAGCAACUUGCCCUCAUCAGGGGAAUAAUCGCUGGAAACGGCGUCUAAUGCCCCAUGGCAAUCAUCUGCGGCAUCGCAGUUGGUUUAAAGAUCCGUCGGAUGAGGAUAGGCUCGCGUGACAUUAGCUAGACGGCGGGGUAACGGCCCACCGUGGCGACGAUGUCUAGGGGUUCUGAGAGGAAGGUCCCCCACACUGGAACUGAGACACGGUCCAGACUCCUACGGGAGGCAGCAGUGAGGA